rfam:Schistosoma margrebowiei strain Zambia genome assembly, scaffold: SMRZ_scaffold0000353
AUCCAGCUGACGAGUUCGAAAUAAGACUAAAUGCGCGUCCUGGAU